AGAGUUUGAUCCUGGCUCAGGAUGAACGCUAGCGGCAGGCUUAACACAUGCAAGUCGAGGGGUAACAGGGGAGCUUGCUUCUGCUGACGACCGGCGCACGGGUGAGUAACGCGUAUGCAACCUACCUUAAUCUGGAGGAUAGCCCAUGGAAACGUGGAUUAAUACUCCAUAACAUAUUUAUACUGCAUGGUAUUUAUAUUAAAGCUUUGGCGGAUUAAGAUGGGCAUGCGUGCCAUUAGAUAGUUGGUGAGGUAACGGCUCACCAAGUCAGCGAUGGCUACGGGGUCUUAAAGGAUGGUCCCGCACACUGGUACUGAGACACGGACCAGACUCCUACGGGAGGCAGCAGUGAGGAAUAUUGGUCAAUGGAGGCAACUCUGAACCAGCCAUGCCGCGUGGAGGAAGACAGCCCUAUGGGUCGUAAACUCCUUUUUUACGGGAAUAAUGGUUUCUACGUGUAGAGAUUUGAAGGUACCGUACGAAUAAGCAUCGGCUAACUCCGUGCCAGCAGCCGCGGUAAUACGGAGGAUGCGAGCGUUAUCCGGAUUUAUUAGGUUUAAAGGGUGCGCAGGCGGGUCUUUAAGUCAGUGGUGAAAGUUUGCAGCUUAACUGUAAAAUUGCCAUAGAUACUGAAGACCUUGAAUAUAGUAGAGGUAGGCGGAAUGUGUAGUGUAGCGGUGAAAUGCUUAGAUAUUACACAGAACACCGAUUGCGUAGGCAGCUUACUAAGCUAUAACUGACGCUGAUGCACGAAAGCGUGGGGAGCGAACAGGAUUAGAUACCCUGGUAGUCCACGCCGUAAACGAUGAUCACUCGUUGUUGGCAAUACACCGUCAGCGACUGAGCGAAAGCAUUAAGUGAUCCACCUGGGGAGUACGGUCGCAAGAUUGAAACUCAAAGGAAUUGACGGGGGCCCGCACAAGCGGAGGAACAUGUGGUUUAAUUCGAUGAUACGCGAGGAACCUUACCUGGGAUUAACUGUAGAGUGCAGGUUAGAAAUAAUCUUUUCCUUCGGGACUAUUUACAAGGUGCUGCAUGGUUGUCGUCAGCUCGUGCCGUGAGGUGUCGGGUUAAGUCCCAUAACGAGCGCAACCCCUAUUCUUAGUUGCCAGCGGGUCAUGCCGGGGACUCUAGGAAAACUGCCAGCGUAAGCUGUGAGGAAGGUGGGGAUGACGUCAAAUCAGCACGGCCCUUACGUCUAGGGCUACACACGUGCUACAAUGGCCGGUACAGAGGGCAGCUACCACGCGAGUGGAUGCGAAUCUCCAAAGCCGGUCUCAGUUCGGAUCGCAGUCUGCAACUCGACUGCGUGAAGUUGGAUUCGCUAGUAAUCGUAUAUCAGCAAUGAUACGGUGAAUACGUUCCCGGGCCUUGUACACACCGCCCGUCAAACAAUGGAAGCCGGGGGUGCCUGAAGUCCGUGAUCCGCCAUCUGGCGGAAGCGGCCUAGGGUAAAACCGGUAACUGGGGCUAAGUCGUAACAAGGUAACC
rnacentral:rRNA from 1 species